rnacentral:misc_RNA from 1 species
UGCAGGCCGCAGCAGUGGGGAAUUUUUGGACAAUGGGGAAACCCUGAUCAGCCAUCCCGCGUGUGCGAUGAAGGCCUUCGGGUUGUAAAGCACUUUGGCAGGAAAGAAACGGCGCAGGAUAAUACGUGCAACUGAUGUACCUGCAGAAUAAGCACCGGCUAACUACGUGCCAGCAGCCGCGGUAAUACGUAGAGGUGCAAGCGUUAAUCGGAAUUACUGGGCGUAAAGCGUGCGCAGGCGGUUCGGGAAGAAAGAUGUGAAAUCCCAGAGCUUGCUUUUGGAACUGCAUUUUUAACUACCGAGCUAGAGUGUGUCAGAGGGAGGUGGAAUUCCGCGUGUAGCAGUGAAAUGCGUAGAUAUGCGGAGGAACACCGUGUGAAGGCAGCCUCCUGGGAUAACACUGACGCUCAUGCGAAAGCGUGGGGAGCAAACGGGAUUAGAUACCCGCGUAGU